ACGGGUGCGUAACGCGUAUGCAACCUGCCCCCAUCAGGGGAAUAGCCCGCCGAAAGGCGGAUUAAUGCCCCAUAGGCCCAGGGCGCCGCAUGGCGCUAUGGGUAAAGCUCCGGCGGAUGGGGAUGGGCAUGCGUGCCAUUAGCUAGUUGGGGCGGUAACGGCGCACCAAGGCGACGAUGGCUAGGGGGUCUGAGAGGAUGGUCCCCCACACUGGUACUGAGACACGGACCAGACUCCUACGGGAGGCAGCAGUGAGGAAUAUUGGUCAAUGGGCGGAAGCCUGAACCAGCCAUGGCCCGCGUGCAGGAUGACGGCCCUACGGGUUGUAAACUGCUUUUCCCCGGGAAGAAUAAGCCCCUCGUGAGGGGUGAUGCCGGUACCGGGGGAAUAAGGAUCGGCUAACUCCGUGCCAGCAGCAGC
rnacentral:rRNA from 1 species